GCCGUUACAGGGCGUCGUGGGGCAGCGCUGGGUAUGGCCAUGACAGGGCGUAGUGGAGCUCCGCCUUGUACGGCUGUUACAGGGGAUCGUGGAGCAGCGCCAGAUACAACCGUUGCAGGGAGUAGUGGAGCAGGAGGCUGCAGCGUGCCUCUGGGGAAUAGCCUGUCGUUGUCGAGAGAUGUCCGACUCGGGGUCGGGCUGCGGAGACGAAGAUGUCCGACUCGGGGUCGGAUUGCUGGGUCAAGGGGCAGCCGACUCGGGGUCGGGCUGCGGAGCCGAAGAUGUCCGACUCGGGGUCGGAUUGCUGGAUCAAGGGGCUGCCGUAGUCUUCCUGGGCGCGCGUGCCGGUCAC
rnacentral:lncRNA from 1 species